rnacentral:rRNA from 1 species
UACAGAGGUCUCAAGCGUUGUUCGGAAUCAUUGGGCGUAAAGAGCGCGUAGGCGGUCCGGUAAGUCGGUUGUGAAAACUGGGGGCUCAACCCUCAGAGGCCGACCGAUACUGCCGGGCUAGAGUCCGGAAGAGGCGAGUGGAAUUCCUGGUGUAGCGGUGAAAUGCGCAGAUAUCAGGAGGAACACCAAUGGCGAAGGCAGCUCGCUGGGACGGUACUGACGCUGAGGCGCGAAAGCGUGGGGAGCAAACAGG